CCUACGGGAGGCAGCAGAGGUCUGUGGUGAAAGACUGAAGCUUAACUUCAGUAAGCCAUAGAAACCGGGCAGCUAGAGUGCAGGAGAGGAUCGUGGAAUUCCAUGUGUAGCGGUGAAAUGCGUAGAUAUAUGGAGGAACACCAGUGGCGAAGGCGACGAUCUGGCCUGCAACUGACGCUCAGUCCCGAAAGCGUGGGGAGCAAAUAGGAUUAGAUACCCGUGUAGUCC
rnacentral:rRNA from 1 species